AUACUUACCUGGCAGGGGAGAUACCAUGAUCACGAAGGUGGUUUUCCCAGGGCGAGGCUUAUCCAUUGCACUCCGGAUGUGCUGACCCCUGCGAUUUCCCCAAAUGUGGGAAACUCAACUGCAUAAUUUGUGGUAGUGGGGGACUGCGUUCGCGCUUUCCCCUG
ensembl:snRNA U1 U1 spliceosomal RNA